AAGGACCCAACUCACCCACGCUGGCAAUCCUGAUGCACAGAAAAACUGAGAUCAUAAAAUUGCAUGGUUUAAGCCACUACAUUUGAGAUCACUUGUUACACAGCAACAGAAAACUAACAUGGAUUAUAUUUCCCAAACUCCUUUGCAGCUGGGUGUUGCCAUGUGACUAAGUUCUGGCCAAUAAGAUUUAGCUGAAGUGAUGAGAGCAAUUUUCCUUCCAUGCCCACUCCCUCCCUCCCCGCUUUCCCUCUUCCUUCUGGCUGGAGUAUGGAUGUCGUGGCGAGCCAUCUUGAAGCAUGAGGAUGCAACACCCUGAGGAUGGUGGAGGAACAAGAUAAGAGGAGUCUGGAUCCCUUAAACUACAGGGUUGCCUUACCAGUCCUGAACUGCUUACACCCGCACUAUUAUGGGAACGUAAAACAAACUUCCUUCUCACUUGUUGAACUCUCUGUUAUUUUGCGUCUGUGUUACAGGAACCAAAGCCAUACCCUACCUAACAGUGGCAGAGCUCAAACCGAAUCCAGCCAUCUGACCCCAGAGCCCAUUCGCUUAGCGCCUGCACGACCCUGCCUCCCCAGCAGCAUAUGGCAUCAGACUAGAAUUGGAAUCCAACAUUGUUAGAGCUAGAUGGGAUUGUACUGGUUAAGUCAGCCAAACUAGUUACACAGACAAGGAAGAGCCACUCAGACCACUUGACUGAUGGAAAUUUAUUGCAGGGCUACAAGGGAAAACAGGGUGUCCCGGGAAGUUGCCUCAUCGACUUUGCAUCCCGGUUCUGAGACACAGAGGAACCUCAUGGAGACUCGUAUCCAUCACUCAACAUCUUUGGGUGGUACCAAGCUCAAGCGAGCUGCCAGUUUCUUUAGCAUUAACUUUGAAGAGAAGACAACUUGAUGUGGUCAGAUUUCCACCAAUUGAGUGAACACCUUGACUAAGCAGGCUCUCCACCAAGCAUGUCAGGGUCCAACCCAAACAUGGCUGCCUGUGGCUUCAGCACAUCUGCCAGUCCAAACAGCUGUUCCCCUCAGACUCAUGACCUGAGCCAUACGUAAGAUGCAGGAAGGAAGUGGUCUGAGCUAUGUUAUCUGACGGAGGGGCUGUGUGUUCCUGGCUGCCACUCCAGUACCAAGACGUGGCUGGUCUCUCAUUUUACAGAGGAAGACCCCAGAAAGGAAAGAGACUGGCUCAGGUAAAGCAAUAAGUUACCUUCCCACUAACCAGGACUGCGGCUGGUCUGCAUCCCCCUGCCCAGGCAGCCCUUGUGGUCACGGCUUUGCUGCUUCUAGAAGCCAUCCCUUGGGUUGCCUGAAUUUAGCCCUGACGGUAUCUCUGGUAGAGCACUUUGUCUUCUGUUUGUGACAACAGUUUUCAGAUUCUUGUCACUUCCCACAGAACACCAUUUCAGAGCUCAACAGACACAUCGCAUCAUACAAAAUGAAGAAUUGAGGCAAUGAUCCGGUUUUUAAAAUCCAUUUCUGACUUGAAUAGCUAAAUAACUCAACAAAUCUCCUUUUUCCAUGUGCCGUUUUGAUGUAAAUUUGACCCCGGUGUAUUUACUUUUCAAUAAAGUCCAAAAUUCAAAACAA
rnacentral:lncRNA from 1 species